AGCGAACGCUGGCGGUAUGCCUAACACAUGCAAGUCGAACGAGACCUCCGUGUCUGGUUGCUCACGCGUGCGUCGAGCGUCGGAACCUUCCCGUAGAUUCGGGAUACCACUCCGACAGGGGUGCUAAUACAGGGUAACUUCUUCGAACACAGGAUUUAUCGCAUUUGUGUGGGCAGGGGUUGUUUUGGCUUGUUGGUAGGGGAAAAGCCUACCAAGGCGAGGAUCCAUAGCUGGUCUGAGAGGAUGAGCAGCCACACUGGGACUGAGACACGGCCCAGACUAUUACGGGAGGCAGCAGUGGCGAAUAUUGGACAAUGGGCGAGAGCCUGAUCCAGCUAUGCUGCGUGAGCGAUGAAGUUCGGAGAGAUGUAAAGCUCUUUUACCCGGGACGAUAAUGACAGUACCGGGAGAAUAAGCUCCGGCUAACUUCGUG
rnacentral:rRNA from 1 species